AAAAAACUGUGCUGUUUCUACAAAGCUUUAACUACAGUAGUUUAUAAGGAUGCCAACGAAAGCUGAGGGUGUAGAGCAAAAUAGUUCUAAGCUUCAGUUAAACUUCUUUAGCAAUGAUAUGAACCAUGGACAAGUAUAUUCUGCUGCCACAAAGACUGUAAAGUGCUUCAUUUCAACAGCUGAGGAAGGUGUCUUGCUGCAGGUAACUAAUGAAGAAGUGGUCAACCACAGAGUCUUCAAGAAAUAAGAAAUUCUGUACCAUCUGAAAGUAGUUCUUGUUGGUGCCUUCAUUUUAAAAAGCACUCUUUAAGAUUAAAGGGAAAUGUUUUCUGAUAAAAUACAAACUUCAUUUAGUACAGGUUCUUAAUAUAAAACAUUUACAAAUUGAGUAUUGUUUGUAAAAGAGUAACAUCAAAUUGGCUAGAGAGAGAAAUGUAUCAUGUUUUAAAUUAGGUUUUGUGAGUAGACAGAUUAAAAUUUUAUUUUAAAUAUAAAGUUUAUAAAAUAAAUACUUUUGUAUCCAAAUACUUGGUGUAAUGUUUACACAUAAAAUGUGUGAAUCUUGUUCUAUAAACAUUCAGUUGUCUAAAGGAUUGCCAUCCCCUAGACUUAAAGCAGUUUCACAAAGCAACACAUUGCCAUUUUUCUUAGAAUAUUGAUAGACAAAUGAGAAAUGCAUUGUGGACAUACUGGCUGUCCUAAUAAAAUGCCAUUCUUUAUACACUGUAUACUCAGCGUUUGAAUGCUGCUGUAGUUUUCU
rnacentral:lncRNA from 1 species